GCGGCUCUCGCGCCUCUCCCGCUGUGCCCUUCUGCUGCGCCCCGGAUCGCCGGUAGAUGCGGGAGCCGGGUGAGGCUGGCCCCGCGGGUGGCCGCUCCGGGAGCAUGUCCGACGUGGCGGCAGAAAUCAGGAGCUUUGUGCAGAUAAAUGGUCACACCUGACUGAAAUGCCCAUGAAGACACCUCUUAGGAAUGAAGUGCCUCUGCUGGAAAAUGCCUAGAUGUACUUCAUAGAACUUGCAAGACACUUUGACAUGAAUCUCCUUGAAGAGUGACAAAUUCCCAGGGGGAAAAAAUGAACAAAACAUAAGAUUCAAACUUGCAGCUCCUGCUUUGAUGAAAGUGUAGUAGUGAUUACUGAUUUCAUCCAUGGUCAUUUAAUUGUUUUCUGUAAUGUAUCAUGUCUCAAAACAGUAAGAUAAGUAAUGGCUAGGACAGCACAACAAUUGGUAGCUUCAGUUUGCAUGGUUAAAGUUUUGACCCAGCUCAUGUUUCAGUUCUGAAAUGGAAUAAAACUAGUGUCAUUCAUCUUUGAAUUUACUUUGAAUAACAUAUUUGGGGAAUGUUUUUAUACUAUAUUCAACUAAUAAAGAAUUUUGUAGUACAAUG